AAUCGUCUCAUAUGUGUCAUCUUAAUGUGAAAUAAUAUAAUUCGCAAACUUCUAGCACUGGAAUAGAAUUAAAAGAAGGACCCAUGCAAAGCCCUCCUUUAGAUCCAGAUAAUCUAUGAAAUGCUGCUUCUGCAUUUUAUUGCCUUAAAAGGGAAAACUACAAAGAAAUAAAAUCAAUAUACCCCUCAUCAAGGAAAUGUUUCUUUGCAACAGAUGGAGACCACUUUAGAAAACUACAACCAAUUACAAAACAGAGUUGGGCCAAAAGCUGGAAAGAACCCAGAUGUCCCUCAACAGAAGAAUGGAUACAGAAAAUGUGAUACAUUUACACAACGAAAUAAGAACGUUUGCUAAUGUGUGGAAGGAAAAUGGAAAACGUAUUUGGAGCCCUUGCUGCAUUGCCGGUGAGAUGAAUUUACUUUAGACUGGGUGGGCAAAAGGAGCCUCAGAAGGCUACAAGGUAAGACAUAUUGUUAGAUUUCAUAAGAUUCUAAAUUUAAUGUAUGCAAAGAAGCUGGGGCACAAGAGUAACAGGCAGAAGAGCAUAGUUUGUAACCAUCAGAUGUUUCCUGUUUUGAGGAUAGAUCUUUGGGAAGAAGGGAAAAAAAUAACAGUAACUAUAUUUAGGUAAACAGAAAAAUCAAUUUACAUUUGCCUCCUGUUAGACACCAUAGCCUGUCUUCUUUUAUUGGGCUUCUAAUCUCUUCUGUAUAUGUUUAUCAUUACUUUGUUAUCAAUUCUAACUUUAUCUACUUUUUCAGAGUUGGUCACUCCAAAUAUUUCCAUAGUACAUAAUACAACAGUCACAGGAUGUAAGUUAAUGACAAAGAAGUUACAAAUACUGUGACAGAUGUUCUACCAAAGCAAAGAAAUGUUAAUGAAACAUGGCAAGACCUCGUAAAAGGCUUAGAAGAUAAUAGAAAAUUUGUUUCUGAACCUGAAGAGUGACCAUGAACACGUUUAUGACUCCUGAGAGAAAUGCUGUUAGAAGCUUGUCUUGACAAAUCGGCCUUCAUCCAACCAGCCACCAAGUUAAUAGUGUGUUUUCAUAUCAUUCAUAACAAGGAUUUCAUUCUCCUUUAAAUACUGUGGUUUUGACCCAUUCAGAAAUAAAUUACCUUUAAGAAAACUGAUGCAUUGUAAUCAACGUAACUAUGCUUUAGCCUCCAUGAUGUACUAUACUUAUUUUCCUUUUGACCCAGUCAUGCCUCUGAUUCAGAACAGUGUAUGUAUGUGUAAGAUGUGGUAGAUAGCCCAAGGUCAUUCACUGAAAACAGCAUGAGAUUGAAAACAACACCCUCCCUCAGACAAAGAAAAAUGUUGAAAAUAACAUAUGGUUAUAGAUUGACAAAAAAAAAAAUCUGAUUUUGGCUUUGUGGGCUAUUCUGAGUCAAUAUGGCAUACAACAAUUUCCUCCCUUGUGAGACUCCUGGCAAGAUUGACAAAACAAAUAAAUAAUAAAUAA